AUUUGUGGAUUAGUAUAAAACUAUGCAAGACUUUUCUCAGGUUUAAAAUGUAACAUUGUUUUCGUUACCUACAUUCCAAUGAUAGAGCUUUGUAUCUUCGCUAGAACCCAGCUCCUUUUUCAAAGGAAGAAUUUAAAUGAUUAAAAACAGAAAAGAACAU